AUGAGACAGACAGGAAGAACAGGAUACAAGAGCCACAGGCCAGUGUACAGAGAAGAUGUUGGCAACCAGAGGAAAAGGGAGUAUCUGGAGAGGCAGAUAGGGAACACAGCCAGAAACAUUCAACUGUCUGCAGCAGUGCCUGCUGUGUUAGGCAGAACAGGGAUGCCAAACAGAGACACAGAAUAUGGGGGAGUUAUGAAUAAUUAUCUUUGGAGACACCCAGAAAGGGGUGGUGGAAGGGAUGGAUACAGUAACUCACCAACAAGGUAGGUUAACACCAUAGUAUAACUGGACAGUUGCCCAGAACCCCUUACUCUUUAAAGAGACAAAAGAAGACAUUUUUCUGGCUGUUUUAUAAAGUUUACAUAGUUGCUGGUAACCUGUGAUUUGCCCAGCUGCAAUGAGGGAAUCCAACAAGUUAAAAACCUAUGUCAGUCACUCAAAAUUCACUACUGUGUCAGGGCCUUGUGAUACCCAGCUUCCAACAUGGCCCUAGUGAUGUUCAUCUUCUGGUGUUAUGUCCUUGUGUAGUGCCAUCCCACGUUGAGUUAGGAGUGGUCUGUAUGACCAGUAGAAUACUGGUUAAAAAAGGCAGCAUGGCCUUCCUUUGUUCUCUUGGAUUACUCACUUUGAAAGGGAAUAGAGCCUUAUUUAAUCAACUAUAACUCACAGUGCUGAAGGAUUUGCCCGAAAUAGAGAAUUUUCAAUUUGGGAGGGACAAAUUAUUUACAGGCUACCACUUGGAGAAUUUAGUCUUGUCCUUCAUUCCUCAUGUUGAUUACCACUUCCACCCUUAAAACAGGUGCUAAGGGGUCCUUCUUCCAUUUAACAUUCUGAUAUAAAAGUGAUGAUAUCCUCUUCUCUUAUUUUGCCUAU
rnacentral:lncRNA from 1 species